rnacentral:ncRNA from 1 species
GAAAAGGGAAUUGUGUGAAAAUCACAAACUGUCCCCGCAACUGUAAAUCACGAGUUUAUAGAAGUACAGAAAGUAUUUCAUAAAAAAGUUUUCUACAAAAAAACCAUUGCCUAAAGCGAGAAGGUGUAGAAAAUGUGAAAGUCAGGAGACCU